rnacentral:sRNA from 1 species
CAUCUUAAAUUUUUUUUUUCAUAAAAUCCAGCUCCUGCAGGAUAUUUAUCAGCAUCUUUGCAAGACAGGAUGAAUUCAAAAUAAAGUAUAGGAGAAGAAACAUUCAGUGAUCCUCAUGGAACACCUUUCCUGAAGAGAUGAUGAUGGGGCCAUUUGACAUGGGACACAGCAGUUGCUGGAAGAAGCACAUAUUUUUAGUGACAAAGACUGUAACUAUGCUGCCUCCUGGUUAUAAAGCAAAGCCAAACUGGAGAGAAGACCAGUGCCAGAGCCUUUAUUACUAAAAGUAGAAGUUGAUACACAUUUGAAGUUGCCCAUCCCACUACCACCAAAUGAUGUGGAAGAGAAUGAGUCCACUGUGACCUAGUGACCAGAAUGAAGUAAAUCCUGUAUCAAAAGAAGAAAAUCCACUUCCAAGAGACAAGGUCUCACUCUGUCGCCCAAGCUGGAGUGCAGUGGUGCAAUAAUAGCUCACUGCAGCCUUGAAGUCCUGGGCUCAAGCGAUUCUCUUGCCUCAGCUUCUUUAGUAGCUAGGACUACAGAUAAUUGCCUUUGAUGAGUUAAGGGCGGAUUUUAAGAGCCCCAUAGACCAGUGCAACCCUGUUCAUGCG